AUACGGAGGAUUCGAGCGUUAUCCGGAUUUAUUGGGUUUAAAGGGAGCGUAGGUGGGAUAUUAAGUCAGCUGUGAAAGUUUGGGGCUCAACCUUAAAAUUGCAGUUGAUACUGGUCGUCUUGAGUGCAGUAGAGGUAGGCGGAAUUCGUGGUGUAGCGGUGAAAUGCUUAGAUAUCACGAAGAACUCCGAUUGCGAAGGCAGCUUACUGGACUGUAACUGACGCUGAUGCUCGAAAGUGUGGGUAUCAAACAGGAUUAGAUACCCUGGUAGUCCACACAGUAAACGAUGAAUACUCGCUGUUUGCGAUAUACGGCAAGCGGCCAAGCGAAAGCAUUAAGUAUUCCACCUGGGGAGUACGCCGGCAACGGUGAA
rnacentral:rRNA from 1 species